UUCGCGGUCUCCUACCCUUCUACCAUCCCCACGGCCGGCCGCCCCCUCCCCGCCGCCUGACUGCUGCCAACCAUGUCCGCAGUCCGGCCGGCGUCUCGCAGCGGCGGUCAGCAGACUCUGACCCCAUCGUCGCCGACCUCCUCUCCGCGCCCGCUCCCCCCGCCUCCUCUCUCUCACCACGCUCUCCCUUGCCGAAGCGCUCCACUCCCUCCUCGCCGCGCGCCCUCCCACGCUCUUACCCCCGCCUCCCUCGGGCUCUUCCUCUCCCACCCCGGGUGCCACCGCCUCCCGCCCACCUCCGCGCGACUCCUCUCCAGGCUUCUUUCGCGCCCCUGCUCAUCCCCCGCCCAGGCAGCCGGAUUCCUCCGCGCCGGUCACCUCUCCGUUCAACGCCCCCUUGGCCGCGCUCGCCCGCGUCCUCGACCUCCUGGCACAACCCAGCUCCUUGCCUCCACGCGCAACGCCGCCGUCCGGCCCGACGUCGCCUGGUAUGGCAUGCUUGCCAACGGGCUCUGCAAAGCCGGCCGCGCUCAGGUCGCUCGAUGGAAUGCCCGGCCCAAACUCGCGCGUUCGCCCGGAUGUUGUCAUUCGUGCUGAACACUGUCGUGAUGGGAUGCGCAAGAGCGGGAGGAUUGGUGAUGCUCCUGACUUCUUCAAGGAUAAAAGAACGGCUUGGCCUGAAGGCAGCGGCAAUGCCGUGACAGGCUACAGCACUCUGGUUGGGGAUUCCCUCCACAGUAACAAUGUGUGGGUGUAGCCAUGGAUUGGGUUUGUUCCAUGAGAUGGUGGAUUAAGGGCUCUCACCAGAUGAAGUCAUGUAUUUUACCAUGAUAUUGGGACUUGGCGUCGUCGAUGAUGAAGGCAGGGUUUCAGCUGGAUGCAAAGGCAUACAAUAUUUUGAUUGGUGGAUUUAGCAGGAGGAAGAGGUUACAGAGGCUUAUCAGUGGCGUGGUGUACACCUACAAUACCUUGUUGUCUGCUUUGUGCAUAGUAGGACAUUUCUCGGCUGUGGAUGAGUUAUUGGGGAAGAUGAUGGUUGUCGGUCUUCUGAGGUCACCUUUGGUACUCAGCCCAACACAGUGAUAUACAAUACUUUGAUUAACUUUGUCUGCAAGAGCGGGGAUACUAAUUCACCCAUUGAACUAUUUGAUAAGAUGAGGGAGAAGCAUGUUCACCUGCAAUGCAUUGUUGAAGGGAUUUCAGGAUAAGAAGAUACUAGAAAAGGCUUUUGAACUGAUGGACCAGAUGAGGGAAGAGAGGUGCACACCUGAUAAAGUAACCAUGGAUGCUCUCAUAGAAUGGCUACAUGUCAUCAGUGAAACAGACAGAUUAAAGCGUUUAUGCAGCUAAGGGAGCAUAUGUAACGAACAUGCUUAAGAAGAUUGCUCGCAAAAUGAAGAUAAUGAUCCUGAAUAAUUCUUCAGAUUACUUAGAAGCUGCACCACUAAUGUAUCCUAUUCCUAGCUGACCUUAUAUAGGAGAUGCUGUUGUGAUCAGAAUUAUCUGCAAUCUGCAAUCAUAGCCUGUAUUAGAACCCAAUUUCUAUUAAAUCUACAGAUGCUAUAGGAUAGGCCAUACCGAUUUCCACGCAAUCUCAUACAACACGUAUUGUGAGUGCUGCUUAGUUUGUUCCUAGUCUGGUUUUGUAGUCAUGAGUAAAUGUGACUGCAGAAUGCAGAAAGUAUAUAUUUCAAGUCCUAAUACCACUAGUUCAUGACAAGUAGUAGUGGAUAGACACCAAUGCAUGAUUCACAACUCUUUUUAUUCUUCAUUGGAUAAGGUUGAAUAGGUUCAGUUGGAAAAGAGUAAGAAUAUGGGCAUGCUAGGAUUAAAAUCUUUAAAGUUCUGUCUGCAAUGGCUAUGGUCACCUUACCUUUGAAGAAACAAUAUGCCUGUUGUGGAAGGAGGCUUUUGAAAUGUUAAGCUUCAGAGGAUUCUUAGCAGUACAAAACAAAAAAUCAGCCUAAACUUUGCAGCUUUGCAGGACUGUACGAGGAUUGGUUAAGAUGACUCUAAAUAAACCAUUUUCCAGUUAGAACAUUGCUGUUGACUUGGAGGAAUUGCAGCUCUGUUCACUGCCUGUCGUGCUUGCUUGCCAAUUGUGUGUGUUUUUGAUACCUGUGGUCAAUCUUAACUAAAUGUAGUAGAGAGAAGGUUUAAAUGCAGCGUCAACCGCACAUCACGAUGAAGAGCAUAGUAACAGUCGAUGGAUGUAAUUUUCGGGCAUCAAAAAGUGAGCUAACUCAGCGUAUGCAGCGGCUGCCAGUAACGCUGACUUGCUCCUGCAAGUUGUUUCUGCUAACGCUGGAAGUGAGGUGGUACGUCUUAAAAGGAAAGGAGACCUCAUCAUCCUCAUCGGCGAGGAUCUUGGAGCAGUUGAAGCAGACGCAGCGCAUGAUGGAGAGCACGGUCUUGAUGAAGCCGAUGUGGAACAUGGGCUUUGCGAGCUCGAGGUGGCCAAAGUGGCCCGGGCACUCGGCCAUCCCAGCCAUGCAUGUCUCACACUUGGUCCUGCGGUCGAUGGUGCCCAGACGAGGGUCACUCAAACCACCAGGCUUUGGCUUCCCCUUCUCCAUGGUCUCUGCAUGCUCUAUCACCGCCACCGACAUUUGUCGCUGCAGAAGCAACGCAACACGUACAAAAUCCAUCAGAUUGCAUCCUAACAUUAAUGUCACUCCAUCAUUAAUGCACAACGGUCAAUGGUCAUUUGUUAAACUAAUAUACCUCCUUCGUUCUAAAAAUAGAAGUUCCUUAUGUCCCAAAUUAUAUGCUUAUUAAAACCUAUCGAAGUCAAACUCUACCAACUUUGGCCAAGUUUAUAGAAAUAUUUAUCAGUGAAAUAUAAUUUGAUAUGUUAUAUAUUUGGUAAAUAAUUUUCUCUAUAAACUUGGUCAAAUUUUGUGAAGGCCAACCUUUGUGAAAACCAGCGCGUAUUAUGGGACAAAGUGUGCAUUAAUUUUUCUAGAAGUCAUUUUUUCCAUGUUUGGCUGAGUUUGUAGCAAAAUAUACCAAUAUCAUCAAUCUACUUAUUUUGUUUUCUCUAUAUAAAUUUGGUAAUGGUUAGAAAAUUUUGGUCAAAUCAAUACACUUCAUAUUUUGAAACAGUCAUACUGUUAAACCUUGCCAAAAAAAAAACUAAAAAACCCCGCAAAACAAAACUGUGCAAACUGCUACCAAAACCGCCAAACUCAGAGUUAUCCGAAUAACUCGGGCAAUCACGGGGCACAACUUGUAACUCAAGUAUUAUUAAUUCCGCUCGAUCAGCAAAAAGUGCGCCGACGACUCAACCAAGCAACAGUCCUUGGCGAGUUAGGUUUUUCAAAAAGUUGAGCUUAGUUAGUUACAAUUAAUAUUAAUGUUGAACAUCAUCUUGUGUGUUGUCGCCCCAUCAUAGUUGGUUGCCGUUCAUCCAGAUCCAGAGCUCGACCGGAGGAGCUAGCCGAGUUAGCCCCAAACGACGCAAACCAAACCCGCUCGAGUUACUACUUCAAACUCCACCCGAAAGCAGAGAGAGAAGCAAAGCAAGGCGGCGGCGGGAGGCGGGGCAUUACGAUUUCGUCGGGGCUGAGGAUGCCGAACUGCACCAGCUGCACCCUGGCCGUCUCCGCCGGCGAGUAGGCGAACCGCGCGUCCAUCGUCGCUCAACUUUCAACUUCUCUUUUUCGAGGCUAA